rnacentral:lncRNA from 1 species
AAAGCUGCUCCUAUCAGUUUCUGGAAACAGUAAUUUGAUUCUGCAAUAUAGUGUUUUAGCAAGUCAAGACAAUUUUAAUCCACAAAAGAUUAAAGGAUGUAUUUUCAACUGUGCUUCAGCUUGACUUCAUUUAUGUGGACACUAAUAUGCACCUUCAACAUUUCGGGUUUGUUCGAAAGCUGCUGACUGAAGGCCUUUGUGUAGCUGUGGAACAGUUGCCAUUCUUUGGUCUGGAUUGGAGAUUUCUGUCUCCUUACCCCUAUGGAGCACCUUACUACAAAGACCCAAAUCUUCAGGCUUUUAUUGAGGCUUUGCUUAGGCAUGAGGAUUUAGGCCUAUAAGCAAAGUUUCAUUCUGAGUUCACUCAAAAACUGUUUCCACUGUAAAUGUGUGUGUAUUCUGUAAUUGUCAAUCAACUUAAAAUAGAUUUGAUGUUAAUGUGAAGAAAGGCAAAAAUGAUUCAGUUAAUAUAUUAUAUCUAUGUUAUUCACACACACUGAACAAUAUGAUGCACAAUUUCUCGUUUUCCUAUGCAUUUUACGCAGAUAAUCUGGUUUGAGAUUUCCUUUAGACUCCUAAAAAGUAAGGUUAUGAUUUCAAUUUGUUCCUUUUUUUAUUAAAGCCUCAGUACCUCUUGGGCCUGAUUUCACCUUUCCACCCUCUUCUAAAAUCCUGUCCCUUUGGUAUUUUUAAAGUGCCCCCUCCUAUGUCAGAUAAUAUAGACAUUUAAAGGUGAUCGUUGUGGACAUAAUGAUUUCCUCCUACCCCUUAGCUUUAAGUGGGGAAGGACUACCAGUACUGUUUUCAAUUUUUACUUUUGAUGUAUUGUC